rnacentral:misc_RNA from 1 species
UCUCCGUAGGUGAACCUGCGGAGGGAUCAUUACAGAGUUCAUGCCCUACCGGGUAGAUCUCCCACCCUAUGUUGUUAUUACUCUGUUGCUUUGGCGGGCCGUUAGGCUCCGGCCCGACUACCGGCCCCGGCUGGUAAGCGCCCGCCAGAGGACCCAAAACCCUGAAUAUUAGUGUCGUCUGAGUACUAUAUAAUAGUUAAAACUUUCAACAACGGAUCUCUUGGUUCUG